CCUACGGGAGGCAGCAGUAGGGAAUAUUGGUCAAUGGACGAAAGUCUGAACCAGCCAUGCCGCGUGAAGGAUGAAGGUCCUCUGGAUUGUAAACUUCUUUUAUCUGGGACGAAAAAAGGGCUUUCUAGCUCACUUGACGGUACCAGAGGAAUAAGCACCGGCUAACUCCGUGCCAGCAGCCGCGGUAAUACGGAGGGUGCAAGCGUUAUCCGGAUUUACUGGGUUUAAAGGGAGCGUAGGUGGGCAGGUAAGUCAGUGGUGAAAUCUCUGGGCUUAACCCGGAAACUGCCAUUGAUACUAUCUGUCUUGAAUAUCCUGGAGGUAAGCGGAAUAUGUCAUGUAGCGGUGAAAUGCUUAGAUAUGACAUAGAACACCCAUUGCGAAGGCAGCUUACUACGGGAUUAUUGACACUGAGGCUCGAAAGCGUGGGGAUCAAACAGGAUUAGAUACCCUGGUAGUCCACGCCCUAAACGAUGGAUACUCGACAUCAGCGAUACACUGUUGGUGUCUGGNGAGAGANAGUAGUACUCCNCGACGGAGUAACGACCGACGUUAGUUAGUAACGUUAACGAAGUAAGUUAGACGGNGNGAGAGCGACGACGACGACGACGAGGAGGAGG
rnacentral:rRNA from 1 species